rnacentral:rRNA from 1 species
CCUACGGGUGACAGCAGUGAGGAAUAUUGGUCAAUGGACGAGAGUCUGAACCAGCCAAGUAGCGUGAAGGAUGACUGCCCUAUGGGUUGUAAACUUCUUUUAUAAAGGAAUAAAACGAGGCACGUGUGCCUUUUUGCAUGUACUUUAUGAAUAAGGAUCGGCUAACUCCGUGCCAGCAGCCGCGGUAAUACGGAGGAUCCGAGCGUUAUCCGGAUUUAUUGGGUGUAAAGGUAGCGUAGAUGGGUUGUUAAGUCAGUUGUGAAAGUUUGCGGCUCAACCGUAAAAUUGCAAUUGAUACUGGCAGUCUUGAGUACAGUUGAGGUAGGCGGAAUUCGUGGUGUAGCGGUGAAAUGCUUAGAUAUCACGAAGAACCCCGAUUGCGAAGGCAGCUUACUAAACUGUGACUGACAUUGAUGCUCGAAAGUGUGGGUAGCAAACAGGAUUAGAUACCCUUGUAGUC